rnacentral:lncRNA from 1 species
UUGGUGGAAAAAUAGAAAAAAAAAAAUGGUUGAAUUUAUUUUGAAAAUAUCUUAGAACUGGAAAACACAAUUCAGCGAUCAAAUCUUAUUCAUAUUUCCGCCAACUGAAUCUCAAGAAUCGCAAUAUCGUCGACAAUCAAACUUGGCAUAAUAGAAUGAUCGAAUAUCGAAAAAUGUAAAUGUGGAAAGUACCUGUAUCAUUGUAAAUCAUUGAGAGAUAUCACUAUAUUUAUAUAGUCGUGAUCCAGACCAAAAAAUAAUGAAUACCAAUCAUUGAAAAGAUUGUGUGAAAGAAAAAAGAAUUGGUGAAUAAGGAUCAGAAGUCAAUUGCUUAUGAAAGUGAAAUAAAAUUCGAUAAUGGCUAUUACAGUCUAUAGUUAUUUAGCCUAAUUUAAAGAGGCUUCGGUGAGAUUCGAAAGAAUCAGAUAAAAUUAAAAAUAAAGAUUUUUUAUUUUUCAAUCAUUAUUGCUUUAUAUCAUAUAUUUUGAGUUUAGAUUUAAUUCUCUCGCUCAUUUAAUUUCGAAAAGAAAGCAAUUAUAAAUAACAAUUUUUAUUUCUUAUGAUUACGAGAUUGAUUAUUUUAGAACUAUAUAACAAAAUAAUACAGACGAAAUCAAAGACUGAAUAUUUGAAACAUCAGUAACGAGCCAGAGAACAUUUGGAAGUGCUAUUCUAUGGAAAAAGUCAAAAGAUCAAAUAGCAAGGUAAAUCUUUAGCCUUAUCUAUUACUAUUACUGUAAUACCAUCAUAUUAUCAACUUAUUACUUCUUGGAAUUUCAAUAAUUUCAGGUAUCUUGCCUUUGGUUAGCACUAGAAAAAACUCGAUUACUCGGUGUUAUCAAAAGAGAAAAGAAGAAUCAUCAAAAAUACUAAUAAUCGGCUGUUUAGACGAAUAGAUGCUAUGCCAAUACGAUGGCAUGGAUAUUGUUGAACCGCCAAUAAAAAGAAGACUGAAAGAAGAUGAUGAUCUAGUAAGGAAUUUCUAAGUUUCCGUUUAGCUUCGUAUGAUGCUCAUGAUGCUCAAAGAAUCAUUUUAUUUCAAGAGAGCGGAUUGAGCAGUAUAAAAUAUCAUUCCUAUCAUGGAGAGAUUUCAGCUGACAAUGUCGAUAUUAAUAGCAGGAUGAUUGCAAAUAUAUAUAUAUAUAUAUUGCAAAUAUAUUUUCUUGUCUUUGAACAAGAUUAUAUCUUAUAAUAAGAAUAUAAUCUAAAGAUUCAAAUUCAUGUGCACUAGGAAAUAUUCAUAUAGGAAGAAAAUAAUCAAAGAUAGGAGAAAUAUUUAUUAUGAUUUUACAAUCGUGAAAAAGACGAUAAAGUACUUCAAGAUAGAAUUCCACGUGAAAAACUGAUUCAAAAAUAUCAAGGACAAAGUGAUAUUUAUAUGUAUCAUUAAUGAAAUAUUCGCUAUGAUAUCGAAAUGCCAUCAUAAUGAACGAUUUAUUUCGUGUGUAAUCUAUUGAUCCUAAACUAUUAAGUCGAUUUUGAUAAAAAAAAAAAAAAGGAAAUGCAUGGAAAUUGAAGGAUUUAUUUUGAAACAACAUCUUGGAACUGGAAAACACGAUUUGAUGAUACAGAUAUAUUUUCCUCAAUCAAGAAUCAAUAUCCACAAUAAUCGAGCACAAUAGCGAUAACAAUACCAGAAAAGAUGAACGUGAAAGAAACUGUAUCAUUGCAAAACAUUGGAAGAUAUGAUGAAGAAACGCAUAUCAGUAAUUUAGAAAGAUCGUGUGAAGGAAGAAAGACUUCAGUGCAUACUAGAAUUAGAAUAUAGUCGUCUAAAAAAACGAGAUAAUAUUUGAUCACUGAAUUAGGGAAUGAUUUUAUCAGAUUAUAUUUUAUAAUUAGAUUUUGAGAUUAAUUUCGAAAAAAAUCUCAAUAUGGAUUAACUGGAAUUAGAAAGAGGGAGAAGCAAAAAUGAAGGAAACGAAAGCAUAAUUAUCGCCAUCAUAGGAGCAAUCAUCAAUCGCAGCAAUUAAUGGCUACUUUGAUGUCAUAGAAAACAAAAAUUUAUUUACCAGAGAGAUGAAGAAAAGAAUGUAAAUUAGGUUUUUUUACAAGUUACAAAAUAUAUAUUUCAAGUAAUUUUUAUUUCUACUGACAUCGUGACAUCUAACACCAAAUCAGAAAAUGAUUUUACAGGAAGAGAUGAAAUAAUAAUGCCGGAGAAAAUAAACCAGACCUGCCUUCAUUUCAAGAAGAUAAAAACCCAAAGAAAAAAAAACAAAUUGCAAUGUCAAAUGUUUUAUAAAAAAUUUGAAAUAGAAACAAAAAAAAAUA